CCAAUAGCGUAUAUUAAAGUUGUUGCAGUUAAAAAGCUCGUAGUUGAACUUCGGGGUUUACUUAUUGGUCAGGCUUAAUUGUUUGUACUGGUGAGAUGAAUCUCUACCUUCUGAGGAACUUUCAUGCCAUUUAUUUGGUGUGAUGGGAAAUCAGGACUGUUACUUUGAAAAAAUUAGAGUGUUUAAAGCAGGCUAACGUCUGAAUACAUUAGCAUGGAAUAAUGAAAUAGGACGGACUGAUUCUAUUUCGUUGGUUUCUAGGAUCACCGUAAUGAUUAAUAGGGAUAGUUGGGGGCAUUAGUAUUCAAUUGUCAGAGGUGAAAUUCUUGGAUUUAUUGAAGACUAACUACUGCGAAAGCAUUUGCCAAGGAUGUUUUCAUUAAUCAAGAACGAAAGUUAGGGGAUCGAAGACGAUCAGAUACCGUCGUAGUCUUAACCAUAAACUAUGCCGACUAGGGAUCGGACGAAGUUAAUUUUAUAAUGACGCGUUCGGCACCUUACG
rnacentral:rRNA from 1 species